AGACUUCGAUCCUAGCUCAGGAUGAACACUGGUGCAUGCUUAACACAUGUAAGUCGGAUAGAAAGUGGUGUUUCCGAUGGCGGAUGGGUAAGUAACGCGUAAGAACAUGCCCUUGGGACGGGAAAAAUACUGGAAACAGCUGCUAAUACCCCCUAGGCUGAGGAGCAAUCAGCCAAAGGAGGAAUCUGCUCAAGGAGGGGCUCACAUCUGAUUACCUAGUUGGUGAGUAAUAGAUUACCAACGCAACGAUCUGUAGCUGGCCUGAGAGGAUGAUCAGCCACACUGGGACUGAGACACAGCCCAAAAUCCUACAUGGGGUAGCAGUGAGGAAUUUUUCGCAAUGGGCAAAAGCCUAACGGAGCAGUGCCACGUUGAGGCAGAAGGCCCACGGUUCGUGAACUUUUUUUCCCAGAGAAGAAGCAACGACGGUAUCUGGGCAAUAAGAAUUGGCUAACUCUAUGCCAACAGUCGUGGUAGGACAGAGGAUGCAAGCGUUGUCCAGAAUGAUUGGGCAUAAAGUGUCUGUAGGUGGAUUUUUAAGUCCCUUGUCAAAUCCUAGGGAUCAACCCUGAACAGGCAGUGCAAGAUAACAAGCAGGAGUGCGGUAGGGGCAUGAGGAAUUUCCGGUGGAGUAGUUAAAUGCGUAGAGAUCGAAGAGAAUACCAAUGGCAAAAGCACUCUGCUGGACCAAUACUGACACUUAAAGAUGAAAACUAAGGGAGCGAAUGGGAUUAGGUACCCCAGUAGUCCUGGCCGUAAACGAUGGAUACUAGACGCUGUGUGUAUCGAACCGUGCAGUGUUGUAGCUAACAUGUUAAGUAUCCUGCCCGGGGAGUAUGUUCGCAAGAAUGAAACUCAAAGGAAAUGACGGGGGCCCGUAGAAGCGGUACAGCAUGUGGUUUAAUGCGAUGUUAAGUGAAUAACCUUCCUAGGGCUUGAUAUACCACAAAUCCUCUUAAAAGACAGGGUUGCCUUCGGGAACGCAGACACAGGUGGUGCAUGGUUCUCGUCAAUUCAUGCCGUAAGGUGAUAGGUUAAGUCUCGCAACGAGGGUAACCCUUGUGUUUAGUCGCUAGCGUUGAGUUUGGAACCCUUAUGCCCUGAGCGACACACGUGCUACAAUGGCCGGGACAAAAGGUCACGAUCCCACGAGGGUUAGCUAAACCCAAAAACCCAUGCUCAGUUCGAAUUACAAGCUACAACUCACCUGUACGAAGCAGAAAUCGCUAGUAAUCGCCGGUCAGCCAUACAGUGGUGAAUUCAUUCCCAUGCCUUAUACACACCGCUCGUCACACUAGGGAAGUUAGCGAUGUUCGAAGUUCAUACCUUAAUCGCAGCAAGAAGGGGGAUACCAAAUGUAGGGUUAGUGAUUGGAGUGAAGUCGUAACAAGGUAGCCGUACUGGAAGGUACAAUUA
rnacentral:rRNA from 1 species